rnacentral:rRNA from 1 species
CAAAAAUCCAAAGGCUUAAAUUGGAUACCUAAGUACUCAAAAUCGAAGAAGGGCGUUGUUACCAGCGAAAUUCUCUGACUAAUUGGAAACAAAUAUUAACCCAGAGGUUCCCGAAUAGAGCAAUCUUAAAAACUAUCUGAUAAAUUCAUAAUCAGAAAAGAGAAAACUCAGUGAAUUGAAACAUCUAAGUAACUGAAGGAAAAUAAAGCAAACGCGAUUUCCCUAGUACUGGCGAAGGAAAAGGAACUAGCCCAAACUAGUUAAAAACUUAACUAGGGUUGUGGGAUUAUUAAUUUAAAUUUAAUUUAUCUUGAAGCAGCUGAAUCCUGUACCAUAGAUGGUGAAAGUCCAGUAAAUAUGAAUAAAAAAAAUAAAUCCCAAGUAAUAUCGGACACGUGGAAUCCGGUAUGAAUUAGCAAGGACCACCUUGUAAGGCUAAAUAUUUUUGAGUAACUGAUAGUGAAAUAGUACCGUGAGGGAAAGGUGAAAUAGAACCCUUGUUAGGGAGUGAAAUAGAACAUGAAAGUUUAAGCUUACAAAUAGUAGGAGGGUUUAAAGAAACUUGACUAUUUGCCUGUUGAAGAAUGAGCCGGCGACUUAUAGGAAAUGGCUUUGGUUAAGAAAUACUUCGGAGCCUUAGUGAAAACAAGUUUUAAUAGAGCGAUUUGUCAUUUUCUAUAGACCCGAACCCAGGUGAUCUAACUAUGACCAGGAGGAAGCUUAGGUAAAACUAAGUGGAAGUCCGAACCGACUAAUGUUGAAAAAUUAGCGGAUGAGUUGUAGUUAGGGGUGAAAUGCUAAUCGAACCUGGAGCUAGCUGGUUCUCCCCGAAAUGUGUUGAGGCGCAGCAAUUAAUGAUGAAUGUUUUAGGGGUAAAGCACUGUAUUGGUGCGGGCUGUGAAAGCAGUACCAAAUCAUAGCAAACUAAGAAUACUAAACAUUAUCCCAUUAAUAAGUAAGACAGUGGGGGAUAAGCUUCAUUGUCAAGAGGGAAACAGCCCAGACCAUUAGCUAAGGUCCCUAAAUAGUUACUAAGUGUUAAAGGAGGUGCGAAUACAAAAACAAUCAGGAGGUUUGCUUAGAAGCAGCAAUCCUUAAAAGAGUGCGUAAUAGCUCACUGGUAUAGUGUUUGUGCGCCGAAAAUGAUCGGGACUAAGUAAUUUACCGAAGCUAUGGGAUAUAUGUUUAAACAUAUAUCGGUAGGGGAGCGUUCUGUUUUAGGGUGAAGUAUUUUUGAAAAAAUAUAUGGACAAAACAGAAGUGAGAAUGUCGGUUUGAGUAACGAAAACAUUGGUGAGAAUCCAAUGCCCCGAAAAUCUAAGGGUUCCUCCACUAGGUUCGUCCAUGGAGGGUUAGUCAGGACCUAAGGUUAGGUCGAAAGACGUAGUCGAUGGAAAACAGGUGAAUAUUCCUGUACUAAUUUUUAUUUGAUAUCGAGGGACGAAGGUAGCUAAAUCAGCUGAGUUAUGGGUUUCAGUGCAACUACUCGAAGUAAAGGAUAUAGAAAAAAAACUAUUAUCUUACUAAGAUAGGAUACAAUUACUAGUUUCAGUUUUUGAUACUAUAAUUUGAUCUACGUUAAACUUCCAAGAAAAGCUCGUAAUAUUAAAUAAUAAAAAUUACCUGUACCGUAAACCAACACAGGUAGAUAAGUAGAGUAUACUAAGGGGCGCGAGAUAACUCUCUCUAAGGAACUCGGCAAAAUGGCCCCGUAACUUUGGGAGAAGGGGUGCCUUAAUAAAAUAAGGUUGCAGUGACCAGGCCCAGGCGACUGUUUACCAAAAACACAAGUCUCCGCAAAGUCGUAAGACAACGUAUGGGGGCUGACGCCUGCCCAGUGCCGGAAGGUAAAGGAAGUUAGUCAUUUAUUUAUUUUAAAGAAGCUGACGACUGAAGCCCCGGUGAACGGCGGCCGUAACUCUGACGGUCCUAAGGUAGCGAAAUUCCUUGUCGCGUAAGUUGUGAC